UUCUGCAACAGGUCCAGGGGCCACGUGACCACAGGUACAAACGCACGCGGGUCGUGUUUACGGCGUGGCUGGGUCCGCAAAGAGGAACGGAGCUAUUGGCUGUGAUAAAAGGCGCGAACGGCGUCGCCGCUGUCGAUUUGCUUCCAAUUGUAACGGACACCGCGGGAGCGAGGACGAACGAGGCGGGAAGUAAAAAGUGAGUAAAAGACCUUAAAAUCACCUAAUAAUGAGCUACUUUUACUUCUUUGGAAUGUCCCCACCGUGCAACGAAUAAAGGUUAUCUCAUCUUCAGCUGUUUUCUCAGUUAGAUUACAAAAUAUCAUCAAUAAACUGGUCUUUUUAGCCCUCCUCCAUCUCAUAUUUAUUUAAAAUCAUUCGUAAUGUACCGGUGAUAUCACGGCCGUUGCAUUAGGUUUUAUUCUAAAUGACGUUAUAAGCUAGCUCGCUAUGAACUAGCUUGUACUGAGAGCGACAGUAAGAAAACUGCUGAGCCAAGGCGGGCGCAGCUGCAGCAUGCGCAUGCGCGCUUCAUUUGCCGCUAGACACGGAGUGGUGCGGACCUCCUCCGUCAGGACGAGCUCACGGCAGCAGCCGCUGCUUGAACAGGACACGGAUACUGUCUCUGUAGGUCCAUCAGCAGCAGGUUACCAAGCAGUGGAAGAGGUCUGGGUCCUGGAGGAUCGCUCCCAUUCUGCCUGGAGCUGAAGAGGAAGGAGGAGAUGAUGUAGACCAGCAGCAGGAUCAGCAGAGCCCCCAGUAGAGAGGUGGAACUGGACGACUGGAGAAGAACAUCAGACAUCCCCAUGACCUAAAAUAAUAAACUUUGUUUCCUGACAAAAUGAG